GAUGAACGCUGGCGGCGUGCUUAACACAUGCAAGUCGAACGGAAAGGCUCCUGCUUGCAGGGGUACUCGAGUGGCGAACGGGUGAGUAACACGUGGGUGAUCUGCCCUGCACUUUGGGAUAAGCCUGGGAAACUGGGUCUAAUACCGGAUAGGACGAUGGUUUGGAUGCCAUUGUGGAAAGUUUUUCGGUGUGGGAUGAGCUCGCGGCCUAUCAGCUUGUUGGUGGGGUAAUGGCCUACCAAGGCGUCGACGGGUAGCCGGCCUGAGAGGGUGUACGGCCACAUUGGGACUGAGCUACGGCCCAGACUCCUACGGGAGGCAGCAGUGGGGAAUAUUGCACAAUGGGCGCAAGCCGGAUGCAGCGACGCCGCGGGGGGGAUGACGGCCUUCGGGGUGUAAACUCCUUUCGCUAGGGACGAAGCGCAAGUGACGGUACCUGGAGAAGAAGCACCGGCUAACUACGUG
rnacentral:rRNA from 1 species